AUGGGCCCCUGGUGGUUCUUCCUCUUUCUGGCAGCUGCUCCCAGGGGUGCUGUCCAGUCCCAGGAACAGCUGCAGGAGUCAGGGCCUGGGCUGGUGACGCCCUCGCAGACCCUCUCCCUCAUCUGUUCUGUGUCCGGCUUCUCUCUGACCAGCUAUGCUGUGAGCUGGGCCCGCCAGGCGCCUGGAAAGGGGCUGGAGUGGGUUGGGCUUGGAAGCACCAACUAUAACCCGGCUCUCAAGUCGCGGCUCAGAAUCGCCAAGGACAACUCCAAGAGCGAGGUUUACUUAGCACUGAGUGACUCCAGAUCUGAGGACACGGCCAUGUACUACUGUGCACGACUCACAGUGAGAGGAAAGCGUCACUCUCAUGUCACCUGUGGGUCCUCCCUGUCCCCAGCAGGACCUGGCCAUGUGGCCGUGGACGUCCUGUCGGGGUCCUGA